GAUGAACGCUGGCGGCGUGCCUAAUACAUGCAAGUCGAACGAGGUGCUUGAGUAGCAAUACGAGAGUAUCCUAGUGGCGAACGGGUGAGUAACGCGUUGGUGACCUACCCCAAAGUGUGGGAUAACAGUCCGAAAGGAUUGCUAAUACCGCAUGUGGUUAUCGGAUUUAGAAACUGAUAUCUAAAGGAGCAAUUCGCUUUGGGAGGACCUGCGUCCCAUCAGCUAGUUGGUGAGGUAAUGGCUCACCAAGGCUACGACGGGUAGGGGACCUGAGAGGGUGACCCCCCANAAUGGAACUGAAACACGGUCCAUACACCUACGGGUGGCAGCAGUAGGGAAUAUUGCACAAUGGGCGAAAGCCUGAUGCAGCAACGCCGCGUGUGCGAUGAAGGCCCUCGGGUCGUAAAGCAACUUUUCUGAGAGAUGAGCAAGGACAGUAUCUCAGGAAUAAGUCUCGGCUAACUACGUGCCAGCAG
rnacentral:rRNA from 1 species